rnacentral:lncRNA from 1 species
AUUUGCCUCUUUCUAUUUUUUAAAAAAUAUUGUUGCUUAGUUGUCAUAUUUAUUAGGAUUUGUUUCUAUCUUUUAGCUAAUAAUCCCUACUUUUUAGGAGUUUUUAGUGGGAUUUUUUUCUCCACUGCAAUAAUAUGAUUGAUUUUGUUGAAUUUCAGAUUUUUUUUUUAGAUUUGUAUCAAUUUUAAUUUGUUUUAUUUGGUAUUUGUAAACUUUAAUUGAGGAGAAAACCAAACCGAUAUACUAUUACUUUUAAUAAGAUUUUUUAUUUCAAAAUUUUAAUUUCCGAUUCAAUCUAUAAACUUUUUUAUAAGUAAUAAUUUAGUUUGAUUGAAUGUGUUUUGCAAAU